rnacentral:rRNA from 1 species
AUUGAACGCUGGCGGAAUGCUUUACACAUGCAAGUCGAACGAUGAACCCUAGCUUGCUAGGGGGAUUAGUGGCGAACGGGUGAGUAAUAUAUCGGAACGUAUCCAUUAAUGGGGGAUAACUAGUCGAAAGAUUGGCUAAUACCGCAUACGUCCUACGGGAGAAAGCUAGGGACCUUCGGGCCUGGCUUUAAUGGAGCGGCCGAUAUCUGAUUAGCUAGUUGGUGAGGUAAAGGCUAACCAAGGCGACGAUCAGUAGCUGGUCUGAGAGGACGACCAGCCACACUGGAACUGAGACACGGUCCAGACUCCUACGGGAGGCAGCAGUGGGGAAUUUUGGACAAUGGGCGCAAGCCUGAUCCAGCCAUUCCGCGUGAGUGAAGAAGGCCUUCGGGUUGUAAAGCUCUUUCGCAAGGGAAGAAAACUUACCCUCUAACAUAGGGUGAGGUUGACGGUACCUUGAUAAGAAGCACCGGCUAACUACGUGCCAGCAGCCGCUGUAA